rnacentral:rRNA from 1 species
GACGAACGCUGGCGGCGUGCUUAACACAUGCAAGUCGAACGGAAAGGCCCUGCUUUUGUGGGGUGCUCGAGUGGCGAACGGGUGAGUAACACGUGAGUAACCUGCCCUUGACUUUGGGAUAACUUCAGGAAACUGGGGCUAAUACCGGAUAGGAGCUCCUGCUGCAUGGUGGGGGUUGGAAAGUUUCGGCGGUUGGGGAUGGACUCGCGGCUUAUUAGCUUGUUGGUGGGGUAGUGGCUUACCAAGGCUUUGACGGGUAGUCGGCCUGAGAGGGUGACCGGCCACAUUGGGACUGAGAUACGGCCCAGACUCCUACGGGAGGCAGCAGUGGGGAAUAUUGCACAAUGGGCGGAAGCCUGAUGCAGCAACGCCGCGUGCGGGAUGACGGCCUUCGGGUUGUAAACCGCUUUCGCCUGUGACGAAGCGUGAGUGACGGUAAUGGGUAAAGAAGCACCGGCUAACUACGUG